rnacentral:rRNA from 1 species
GGACGAACGCUGGCGGCGUGCUUAACACAUGCAAGUCGAGCGGUAAGGCCUUUCGGGGUACACGAGCGGCGAACGGGUGAGUAACACGUGGGUGAUCUGCCUCGCACUUCGGGAUAAGCCUGGGAAACUGGGUCUAAUACCGGAUAUGACCAUGGGAUGCAUGUCUUGGUGGUGGAAAAGAUUUAUCGGUGUGAGAUGGGCCCGCGGCCUAUCAGCUUGUUGGUGGGGUAAUGGCCA